GAAAGCCUGAUCCAGCAAUGCCGCGUGUGUGAAGAAGGCCUUCGGGUUGUAAAGCACUUUUGUCCGGAAAGAAAUGGCUCUGGUUAAUACCUGGGGUGGAUGACGGUACCGGAAGAAUAAGGACCGGCUAACUACGUGCCAGCAGCCGCGGUAAUACGUAGGGUCCAAGCGUUAAUCGGAAUUACUGGGCGUAAAGCGUGCGCAGGCGGUUGUGCAAGACCGAUGUGAAAUCCCCGAGCUUAACUUGGGAAUUGCAUUGGUGACUGCACGUCUAGAGUGUGUCAGAGGGGGGUAGAAUUCCACGUGUAGCAGUGAAAUGCGUAGAGAUGUGGAGGAAUACCGAUGGCGAAGGCAGCCCCCUGGGAUAACACUGACGCUCAUGCACGAAAGCGUGGGGAGCAAACAGGAUUAGAUACCCUGGUAGUCCACGCCCUAAACGAUGUCAACUAGUUGU
rnacentral:rRNA from 1 species